UUAAAUCACUUCCCCUUGCUGGGCCUUAGUUCCUUUAUCAGUAACAAUGGGAAUGAGACCACCCACUUCACCACGUUCUAGAAGCCGAUGCCUGUGCGGGGGCAGUGUCUGGGUAGGAGGCCCAGCAAGCAGUCGACAGGACCCCCUCCCGCAGCCAUUGGCCCUGCAGCCUGGCAUGAGCUGAUCAGAGGCGUAAGGACAGCACCCAGCUCCUGGGCCCCUUUCCUGACCAGACGCCUGUGGGAGGAGCCAGAUGAGGAAACAGAGGCACAUCAGGGAGAAACUGACAAGGAAGAGACGAAAGCCUACAGCAUCAGACUUGACCGUUGUCCUCCCCCCAUGUAGCCGACAGCAGCAUCCCUCUGUUCUGUGGGUUUGAGGAAAGGCCGGAGUCACACUGAAGGCCGCAUGUAUGUAAUCAGAAGGUCUAUGUGUAUAUGUGUACAUGGGGAUAUGUGCACAUCUAUCUUACAAGCGUAUACGGUAUAUGUCAUACAUAAUCUACCCAUCUGCCAA